rnacentral:rRNA from 1 species
AUUGAACGCUGGCGGCAGGCCUAACACAUGCAAGUCGAGCGAGCGGCGGACGGGUGAGUAAUGUCUGGGAAACUGCCUGAUGGAGGGGGAUAACUACUGGAAACGGUAGCUAAUACCGCAUACCAUCAGAUGUGCCCAGAUGGGAUUAGCUAGUAGGUGGGGUAAUGGCUCACCUAGGCGACGAUCCCUAGCUGGUCUGAGGGGAUGACCAGGCACACAUGAACUGAGAAACGGGCCAGACUCCCACGGGAGGCAGCAGUGGGGAAUAUUUCACAAUGGGCGCAAGCCUUAUGCAGCCAUGCCGCGGGUGAGAAGGAGGCCUUCGGGUUGGAAAGCAAGUUCAGCGAGGAGGCGUUACUCGCAGAAGAAGCAACGGCUAACUCCGUGCCAGCAGCCGCGGUAAUUC